AUAAGGAAGACAAUCUGAACAAUGAAAGACUCAAACAUUCUUUGAAACAGUGGUGAUUGUUGGAUCAAGGGAAAAAGGGAUUUGAUAAAAAAAUUCUGCUAACAGUUGCCACCCAAUAGAAGGUUCCAGAUGCAAAACCCAAAAACACUACUAUAAAGACUUAAUGAAGACCUUAAAUAGAGGGACACGUCAUUCUAACAUUAAAAUAUCUCAUUUU
rnacentral:lncRNA from 1 species